UACGGGGGGGGCAAGCGUUGUCCGGAUUUAUUGGGCGUAAAGAGCUCGUAGGCGGUCUGUCGCGUCGGCUGUGAAAUCCCGAGGCUCAACCUCGGGUCUGCAGUCGAUACGGGCAAACUGGAGUGUUGCAGGGGAGACUGGAAUUCCUGGUGUAGCGGUGAAAUGCGCAGAUAUCAGGAGGAACACCAGUGGCGAAGGCGGGUCUCUGGGCAACAACUGACGCUGGGGAGCGAAAGCGUGGGGAGCAAACAGG
rnacentral:rRNA from 1 species